rnacentral:rRNA from 1 species
AUUGAACGCUGGCGGCAGGCCUAACACAUGCAAGUCGAGCGGAUGAAGGGAGCUUGCUCCUGGAUUCAGCGGCGGACGGGUGAGUAAUGCCUAGGAAUCUGCCUGGUAGUGGGGGAUAACGUCCGGAAACGGGCGCUAAUACCGCAUACGUCCUGAGGGAGAAAGUGGGGGAUCUUCGGACCUCAUGCUAUCAGAUGAGCCUAGGUCGGAUUAGCUAGUUGGUGGGGUAAAGGCCUACCAAGGCGACGAUCCGUAACUGGUCUGAGAGGAUGAUCAGUCACACUGGAACUGAGACACGGUCCAGACUCCUACGGGAGGCAGCAGUGGGGAAUAUUGGACAAAGGGCGAAAGCCUGAUCCAGCCAUGCCGCGUGUGUGAAGAAGGUCUUCGGAUUGUAAAGCACUUUAAGUUGGGAGGAAGGGCAGUAAGUUAAUACCUUGCUGUUUUGACGUUACCAGCAGAAUAAGCACCGGCUAACUUCGUG